rnacentral:rRNA from 1 species
ACGAAGGGGGCUAGCGUUGUUCGGAUUUACUGGGCGUAAAGCGCACGUAGGCGGACUAUUAAGUCAGGGGUGAAAUCCCGGGGCUCAACCCCGGAACUGCCUUUGAUACUGGUAGUCUUGAGUUCGAGAGAGGUGAGUGGAAUUCCGAGUGUAGAGGUGAAAUUCGUAGAUAUUCGGAGGAACACCAGUGGCGAAGGCGGCUCACUGGCUCGAUACUGACGCUGAGGUGCGAAAGCGUGGGGAGCAAACAG